rnacentral:lncRNA from 13 species
UUGAAACCUCUUUUACGGAUAGGGCUGUGGAGUGUAGACUUGGAGGGGAGAGAAAUCUAACAUAGGUCCCGUUAACCCACUGUCCCUGUGUUUGUGAGAUGUCCACGAUGUCAGGCCUCCCAUUCUGAUAUGUUUCAGUAUAAAGACUUCCUUAGCAUUACUAGUUCUUGUCUCUUUUUUUAGACAGAGUUUUGUUCCUGUUACCCAGGCUGGAGUGCAAUGACGCGAUCUCGGCUCACGGCAACCUCCGCCUCCUGGGUUCAAGCCAUUCUCCUGCCUCAGCCUCCCGAGUAGCUGGGACUACAGACGUGCGCCACCACGCCCAGUCUGCCCACCAGCAGUUCAGUUCAGCUCUCACCGAAGACGGCUGCAGCUCUUCCCAGGCACCACGGAGACACAGCAUCUGACACGGUCACCAGAAGGGCACCCUUCCUGUUCAACGCUCUGCAUGUGCCAUCGAGGGGCCUUCUCUGCAGAUGUCCCAGAGGCUGGCAGUCCUGCAUGAGGUGCUUCAGCAUGAGGCAUUUCAGCAUUGAAAUGCCAAGAGCUGGGUUUAAAAAAGGGGAGAUGAGAACCCGGGAUCUCUACAGAUACAGGAGCUCCAAGGAGGACUCAGCAGAGCUGGAGCACCAUGUGGUCUAUUGCUUCUGCCCAAGUUCACCAAGCACAAGCUGCAGCAGAAACCACACUGCCCUUGAAGCUGAAAAAUCUCAUCAUCCGGCCCAUUGCAAGGAAGUAAAGCCUGGUGGCUGUUAUAGGAGUGGAAGGGGGAAGAAGGAAAGGGGCCUGUCCUGA